rnacentral:rRNA from 1 species
GGCCUACCWUGGUGGUAACGGGUAACGGGGUGUUAGGGCACGACACCGGAGAGGGAGCCUGAGAAACGGCUACCACAUCCAAGGAAGGCAGCAGGCGCGCAAAUUACCCAAUCCCGACACGGGGAGGUAGUGACAAUAAAUAACAAUACAGGGUUCUUUUGGAUCUUGUAAUUGGAAUGAGUACAAUUUAAAUCUCUUAACGAGGAACAAUUGGAGGGCAAGUCUGGUGCCAGCAGCCGCGGUAAUUCCAGCUCCAAUAGCGUAUAUUAAAGUUGUUGCAGUUAAAAAGCUCGUAGUUGAAUUUCGGGAUCAAUAUUUCGGUCAUGCCGUUGGUAUGCACUGUUAUCAUUGAUUUCUCACCUUCUAAAGAACCGUAAUGCCAUUAAUUUGGUGUUACGGGGAAUUAGGACUGUUACCUUGAAAAAAUUAGAGUGUUUAAAGCAGGCUCACGCUUGAAUACAUUAGCAUGGAAUAAUGAAAUAGGACAUCCGAUUCUAUUUUGUUGGUUUCUAGGAUCGAUGUAAUGAUUAAUAGGGAUAGUUGGGGGCAUUAGUAUUCAAUUGUCAGAGGUGAAAUUCUUGGAUUUAUUGAAGACUAACUACUGCGAAAGCAUUUGCCAAGGAUGUUUUCAUUAAUCAAGAACGAAAGUUAGGGGAUCGAAGACGAUCAGAUACCGUCGUAGUCUUAACCAUAAACUAUGCCGACUAGGGAUCGGAUGAUGUUAAUUUUUUAAUGACUCAUUCGGCGC